rnacentral:rRNA from 1 species
UACGUAGGGUGCGAGCGUUGUCCGGAAUUAUUGGGCGUAAAGAGCUCGUGGGCGGUUUGUCGCGUCGACUGUGAAAACCUACAGCUUAACUGUGGGCUUGCAGUCGAUACGGGCAGACUUGAGUUCGGUAGGGGAGACUGGAAUUCCUGGUGUAGCGGUGAAAUGCGCAGAUAUCAGGAGGAACACCGGUGGCGAAGGCGGGUCUCUGGGCCGAUACUGACACUGAGGAGCGAAAGCGUGGGGAGCGAACAGG